rnacentral:rRNA from 1 species
UACGUAGGGUGCAAGCGUUGUCCGGAAUUAUUGGGCGUAAAGAGCUCGUAGGCGGUCUGUCGCGUCUGCUGUGAAAACUCGGGGCUUAACCCCGGGCCUGCAGUGGGUACGGGCAGACUCGAGUGUGGUAGGGGAGACUGGAAUUCCUGGUGUAGCGGUGGAAUGCGCAGAUAUCAGGAGGAACACCGAUGGCGAAGGCAGGUCUCUGGGCCACUACUGACGCUGAGAAGCGAAAGCAUGGGGAGCGAACAGG